GUGCCAGCCGCCGCGGUAAUACCGGCAGCCCGAGUGAUGGCCGAUCUUAUUGGGCCUAAAGCGUCCGUAGCUGGCUGCGCAAGUCCGUCGGGAAAUCCACUCGCCCAACGAGUGGGCGUCCGACGGAAACUGCACAGCUUGGGACCGGAAGGCUCGAAGGGUACGUUCGGGGUAGGAGUGAAAUCCCAUAAUCCCGCACGGACCACCGAUUGCGAAAGCACUUCGAGAAAACGGAUCCGACAGUGAGGGACGAAAGCGUGGGGAGCAAACAGGAUUAGAAACCCGAGUAGUCC
rnacentral:rRNA from 1 species